rnacentral:sRNA from 1 species
AAGCGGCCAAGUCAAAGCGCCGGCAGAGGGGAAGGAGCCGGCCGCGUCGGACCGUGUCAGACGCCCCCCAGAGCCGCCCGGGCCUGCCUAACGUGU